rnacentral:lncRNA from 1 species
UUUCCGCUUAAUUUCAUUUUAUCGAACAUUCUCGUUAACUUAACUCUGUCUCUUUUAUAAGGGAUAGAAACGUGUAAAUCGCAGCAAAAUGAUCAUACAAAGCAGAGCAACUGCUGAGCAAUGGUAUUUGUUCAUUUUUGAGUUAGAAAUGCCAAUUCUGGUUUGAUCGAGGAGAAGGCUAACCCAAAAAAAAAAAAGGAAAAAAAUAAUAUAUUUAUGACAAACUAUUCAGUUAGCAUAGGGUAGAUUAAGAUGGGAUGAAAGUAA